GAUGAACGCUGGCGGCGUGCCCAACACAUGCAAGUCGAACGGAGAUUACGGACGGAAGUUUUCGGAUGGAAGACUGUAAUUCUUAGUGGCGGACGGGUGAGUAACGCGUGGGCAACCUGCCCUAUACAGGGGGAUAGCAGCUGGAAACGGCUGGUAAGACCGCAUAAGUCGGCGAGACCGCAUGGUUUUGCCGGGAAAUGAGCAAUCAGGUAUAGGAUGGGCCCGCGUCCGAUUAGCCAGUUGGCAGGGUAAAAGCCUACCAAAGCAACGAUCGGUAGCCGGACUGAGAGGUCGGACGGCCACAUUGGGACUGAGACACGGCCCAAACUCCUACGGGAGGCAGCAGUGGGGGAUAUUGCACAAUGGAGGAAACUCUGAUGCAGCGACGCCGCGUGAGUGAAGAAGUAUUUCGGUAUGUAAAGCUCUAUCAGCAGGGAAGAUGAUGACGGUACCUGACUAAGAAGCCCCGGCUAACUACGU
rnacentral:rRNA from 1 species